GCUGGGCGCGGUGGCUCACGCCUGUAAUCCCAGCACUUUGGGAGGCUGAGGUGGGCGGAUCACCUGAGGUCGGGAGUUCGAGACUAGCCUGGCCAACAUGGUGAAACCCCAUCUCUA
rnacentral:SRP_RNA from 1 species